AUUUUUAGUGGCUUUUUUUUUUUUUCUUUUUAUUUCUAUUUUUUUUUUUUAUUUUACAAAAAACGGGCA
rnacentral:ribozyme from 1 species